UUGGUUCCACAAUGCCCACGCAUCUAAAAAUCCACAGAUGUCCAAGUCCUUCAUAUAAAAUGACGCAGUACGUCCUCCUGUGGAAAGGAAAUCAUCUCCGUAAUUGUAAUACCUAAUCCGUACAAUGUGGAUGCCACUUGGUGGGUGGUGACCACGAUUUCAGAAGGCUGAUGGUGCAGACUGGCUUGUGUUCUUGCAGCUCCUGGCCCACUGAGGAUGUCCCUCAUGUGGAAGCCACAGCUGUUCCUCCACAGCCCAGGCGGGACAGAGUGGGCAGCUCAUCUCUCCUCACACCCCUGUGAAUUUCCUAGAAGCAGGACUGUGCCUCUAUUUCUUACUUAAAUUCCUCUUUCCUACAACACGUUCUUCAGCUGCUAGAGUGUUAUGUAGCCCAAGGUAGGCGUGGAUUGUGUUUCUCUUCUGGGAUGCCCUCCUUGUGUGUUCAGCAAAGUGUUGGAUGAGGACAGCAUAGAGGAGUGACUUACCUGCACACGGUGUACUGGGGCUGCUGCUGCCUCCGAUCAGCAGACUUCCUUUCAAUGGAGGGAAAUGUUGGGCUUUUAGUGUUGUCUGUUGAAAGGAGAUGAAAAGAAGCCUCAGAAAGCCUGCAGAAAGGGAAUGAGGCGGUGGAGAAGUCACAAAAGGAAGAAGUCAGCAGAGCACCCCGACUGUUUGCUAAGCAGUUUCUAAGCAACUUUUAAUGGAAGGUCAGACAUAAGCAAGAUAAAGGGAAGAAGAAGCAACAUUAUUUUACACAAUAAAGUGACUGUGAAUGCUGCCAGUU